rnacentral:rRNA from 1 species
CACGUAGUUAGCCGUGACUUCCUCGCCGGGUACCAUCACUCAGAAAGCUUUCCACUCUUUCUGCCUUUUGUCCCCGGCAACAGAGCCUUACGAUCCGAAGACCUUCCCCGCUCACGCGGCAUUGCUCGUUCAGGGUUCCCCCCAUUGACGAAAAUUCCCUACUGCUGCCUCCCGCAGGAGUCUGGGCCGUGUCUCAGUCCCAGUGUGGCCGUCCGCCCUCUCAGGCCGGCUAUGCAUCGUCGCCUUGGUGAGCCGUUACCUCUCCAACCAGCUAAUGCACCGCAGGUCCAUCUGCAUGCGGGACUCUUGUCCCUUUCCAAAAAGAGAUGCCUCCUCUUUGCUCAUCCGGUAUCAGCUUCCGUUUCCAGUAAGUUCUCCCGCUCAUGCAGGCAGGUUCCCUAGUCGUUACUCACCCGUUCGCCACUCAUAUCCGAAGAUAUCCGUUCGACUUGCAUCGUAUUAGGCAUCGCCGCCAGCGUUCACUCCGUGAGUCCGAGGUA